GUGAAUCAUCAAAUUUUUGAACGCAAAUUGCACUCUCCUCGGAGAGUAUGCCUGUUUGAGGGUCAGCCUAUAAAAAUCUACAUCGUUGCUGUUUCGCGGUGGCUUGCGUCGGUAAUUGGGUCAUCUGUAAUCCUUUUGUUGUAAGCGACUUAAAAUUUUCUUUUUGUUCCAUGAACGUUUCUAAGAUCUAUUUCUUUAUACGUUUAAGGUAUCGAUUUUUACUAGUCGUGACCAUCAUAUUUGAUUGCUUCAAUAUUCUUUCAUUAACUGACCACAU
rnacentral:misc_RNA from 1 species